GACGAACGCUGGCGGCGUGCUUAACACAUGCAAGUCGAACGAAGUGGCGAACGGGUGAGUAACGCGUAAUCAACCUGCCCUUCAGAGGGGGACAACAGUUGGAAACGACUGCUAAUCCCGCAUACUGAAGGAGGGGAUUGCGUCUGAUUAGCUAGUUGGAGGGGUAACGGCCCACCAAGGCGAUGAUCAGUCGCCGGGCUGAGAGGAUGAACGGCCACAUUGGGACUGAGACACGGGCCAGACUCCUACGGGAGGCAGCAGGUGGGAAUCUUUCGCAAUGGACGAAAGUCUGACGGAGCAACGCCGCGUGAGGGAGGACGGCCUUCGGGUUGUAAAGCUCUGUUAAUCGGGACGCGGUACCGGAAGAGAAAGCCACGGCUAACUACGUGCCAGCAGCCGCGGUAAUUC
rnacentral:rRNA from 1 species